GGCGUGGUCGUUACAUAUCCCUAUAUAAACGCUGCCUGCUGAUCCAUCAGUAUCACUUGACAAGUACGCAAGUAAACCUUUAACAAUGUUCUACAAACUGUUCGCCCUCUUCGCUAUGCUGGCGGUGGCCUUCGCCAACCCCAACCCCAAACCCGACCCCGCACUGGCAUACGCGGCUCCAGCGGUGCUGCCUGUUGGCUACUCGCCCUACUCUCCCCUGGCUUACAGCGCGCCUUACGCCGCCGCCCUACCUUACGCCUACAACUACUACGUCCGUUAACUCAACUAAAGACCCAAGCUUACUAUGAACCGAUUUGCCUAACGUUUUAAAUAAAUUUGUACAGCAUCUAUAUUUGAUUUUUAUUAUUCCCUAGUCUAAUUUAAGUGUAUCUCUUUGUAAGGGCGCGGCGGUGCCCUCUCCGUACUCCUCAUAGAGUGUGUUGUUAACGUUGUAUUUCUUUUAUUUUUGUUCUUUUUUCAAACAUAGUACGUCUAUCUAUUUGUUAGUCAAGUAGAAUCAAACUCCAGUUGUAAACAUUUUUAAGAUAAGCGAUUAGUCACUGAGUUAGUAUCACCAACCGUCCAAGCUAUAAUGGCAUUGGAAUAAUUACAAUUUAUUACAAUAAUUCUCAUGGUAUAAUUAUUACUUAAACAAGUCCAUUUUGUAAGGCAAGGUAACCUGGUGUAUAAAUAAUGUUAAUAAAUCUAGUUUGCAGUUAACAACGCAUGUAUAAUAAUGCAAUUUAUAUUCUGUACAGUACAAAUACGCAGGAAUUUUGUUAAAUUGUGAAUCACUUGGAUAAUAUUCUAGAACAAUUGUUAUUUCUACAAUGAUAAAAUAACGCAUAUUUCCUAAAUUUUACAAGUAAAUCGUAUAGAUAUUUAUUCCUGAACACUUUACAACAGUUAUGCGAUCGUAAGACACACUUUGAUUACACCAAAAUAUUGAUUAAUUAUUUUAAAAAAAUGUACACGUUUAGAAAAUUAAUCCGUUACGUUGUUUAUUUGUUUUAUUCAAACAGGAUGUUAACAACAAGAUCGUUUCGAAACUCAUUGACUUUUGUUUAGACGGCGAGUCACCACAAGGUCGGUACGAAACAAUUUUUGGAAAUGAGUAAGUAUUCAUGUUUAUAUUAUAAAUUCUUUUGUUACCCUCGUAAAGUAUUCAGCAGAGCCUUGACAAUACCAUACGAGUCCAUGAUUCUUUCAAGUAUUUGUCAUUGUUUCUAUACAACCUCCUCCAAAUAUAAAACGCAGGACGUCUCGGUUACAGACAGUUUAAAAAAAUCGUAGUUCUCAGACAACGUUCGCAAAAUGGAUAAAAUAUUGCUGAUUACUAUGUUAUCGCUUUUAGCGUCAACAGCGGCUGAACCACUGUUGUAUAGCUCCAGUAUCUUUGCAUCUCCUUUCACUUCUGCUGCCUUAGUAGCACAGCCAGUAGCACCAGUUGCCCCAGUUGCACCGGUUGCACCAGUUGCCCCAAUUGCUCCAGUUGCACCAGUCGCCCCAGUUGCACCAGUCGCCCCAGUUGCCCCAUCGUACGCAGUUCCUUAC